UACAGAGGUCCCAAGCGUUGUUCGGAUUCACUGGGCGUAAAGGGUGCGCAGGCGGUCGGGUAAGUCUGACGUGAAAUCUUCAAGCUCAACUUGGAAACUGCGUCGGAUACUAUUCGGCUAGAGGAAUGGAGGGGAGACUGGAAUUCUCGGUGUAGCAGUGAAAUGCGUAGAUAUCGAGAGGAACACCAGAGGCGAAGGCGAGUCUCUGGACAUUUCCUGACGCUGAGGCACGAAAGCCAGGGGAGCAAACGGG
rnacentral:rRNA from 1 species